rnacentral:rRNA from 1 species
UUGUUAGUUGCCAUCAUUUAGUUGGGCACUCUAGCGAGACUGCCGGUGACAAACCGGAGGAAGGUGGGGAUGACGUCAAAUCAUCAUGCCCCUUAUGACCUGGGCUACACACGUGCUACAAUGGGAAGUACAACGAGUUGCGAAGUCGCGAGGCUAAGCUAAUCUCUUAAAGCUUCUCUCAGUUCGGAUUGUAGGCUGCAACUCGCCUACAUGAAGCCGGAAUCGCUAGUAAUCGCGGAUCAGCACGCCGCGGUGAAUACGUUCCCGGGCCUUGUACACACCGCCCGUCACACCACGAGAGUUUGUAACACCCGAAGUCGGUGAGGUAACCUUUUUGGAGCCAGCCGCCUAAGGUGGGAUAGAUGAUUGGGGUGAAGUCGUAACAAGGUAGCCGUAUCGGAAGGUG